AGGGAAAGAGGGAGGCAGGCCUAACACAUGCAAGUCGAACGGUAACAGAAAGCAGCUUGCUGCUUUGCUGACGAGUGGCGGACGGGUGAGUAAUGUCUGGGAAACUGCCUGAUGGAGGGGGAUAACUACUGGAAACGGUAGCUAAUACCGCAUAACGUCGCAAGACCAAAGAGGGGGACCUUCGGGCCUCUUGCCAUCGGAUGUGCCCAGAUGGGAUUAGCUAGUAGGUGGGGUAAAGGCUCACCUAGGCGACGAUCCCUAGCUGGUCUGAGAGGAUGACCAGCCACACUGGAACUGAGACACGGUCCAGACUCCUACGGGAGGCAGCAGUGGGGAAUAUUGCACAAUGGGCGCAAGCCUGAUGCAGCCAUGCCGCGUGUAUGAAGAAGGCCUUCGGGUUGUAAAGUACUUUCAGCGGGGAGGAAGGGAGUAAAGUUAAUACCUUUGCUCAUUGACGUUACCCGCAGAAGAAGCACCGGCUAACUCCGCG
rnacentral:rRNA from 1 species